rnacentral:rRNA from 1 species
UACGGAGGGUGCGAGCGUUGUCCGGAAUCAUUGGGCGUAAAGGGCGCGUAGGUGGCCCGGUCAGUCUUUGGUGAAAGCGCGGGGCUCAACCCUGCGUCGGCCAGGGAUACUGCCGCGGCUCGAGCACUGUAGAGGCAGGCGGAAUUCCGGGUGUAGCGGUGGAAUGCGUAGAUAUCGGGAGGAACACCAGUGGCGAAGGCGGCUUCCUGGCCUGUUCUUAACGCUGAGGCGCGAAAGCUAGGGGAGCAAACGGG